rnacentral:rRNA from 1 species
GGAUGCGAUCAUACCAGCACUAAUGCACUGGAUCCCUUCAGAUCUCCGAAGUUAAGCAUGCCUGUGCAAGAGUAGUACUAGGAUGGGUGACUCUCUGGGAAGUCUUCAUGUUGCAUCCG